GGGGUGUGCUCAGAGCAGGGGGUCUGAAGAAUGGCUCCUGUUAAUAACACACCCAAACAGGAAUCUGGGGUCAUCUGGGGGGCACAAAACUAUAUCCACCCUAAAAACAAGUUCCCUACAUGU
ensembl:snoRNA